rnacentral:rRNA from 1 species
UACGGGGGGGGCGGAAGCGUUGUUCGGAAUUACUGGGCGUAAAGGGCGCGUAGGCGGCCACCGCAAGUCGACUGUGAAAUCUCCGGGCUUAACCCGGAAAGGUCAGCCGAUACUGCGGGGCUAGAGUGCAGAAGGGGCAACUGGAAUUCUCGGUGUAGCGGUGAAAUGCGUAGAUAUUGGGAAGAACACCGGUGGCGAAGGCGGGUCUCUGGGCAUCUCCUGACGCUGAGGCGCGAAAGCCAGGGGAGCAAACGGG